CACAGUCUUCGCUGAUGACUUUAUAUCUCGUCAGAAGACAUUGGAGUCAGAAAAGACUUCUGGUGAACUUGCUGAGAUUCUCUUGAUUCGUUACUUAAAGAAUCAACAUAGUGUCCAAACAAGUCGAACCACUGUGCUUCGUGCACUUCCUGUGCUGCUGAGAGAAGACGCCUCAAGAUUCUUCAAAACAUGCAGGGGCUGAAGAUUCAGAAUAGCCAAAUGUUGGAUAUUCACCAGUUGCCAUGAUAACAGCGGUCAGAGAACUCACAGAUGCUGCAAUUCACUACAGUCUGGUCAGAAAUUUCAUUGUUCUUGA